AUACGGAGGAUGCAAGCGUUAUCCGGAUUUAUUGGGUUUAAAGGGUGCGUAGGCGGUUUGCUAAGCGGGAGGUGAAAUGCCGGCGCUCAACGUCGGAAGUGCCUCCCGAACUGGUGGACUUGAAUGACUCUGCCGUGGGAGGAAUGUGUAGUGUAGCGGUGAAAUGCUUAGAGAUUACACAGAACACCGAUUGCGAAGGCAUCUCACGAAGGGUUGAUUGACGCUGAGGCACGAAGGCGUGGGGAUCAAACAGGAUUAGAUACCCUGGUAGUCCACGCAGUAAACGAUGAUGGCUAACCGCUGGGCUUAUCAGUUCAGUGGCCAAGCGAAAGCGAUAAGCCAUCCACCUGGGGAGUACGACCGCAAGGUUGAAACUCAAAUGAAUUGACGGGG
rnacentral:rRNA from 1 species